AUCGGGAAUCACACGAUACGCAGUUGCUAUAUAAAAUACCCGGUAACGUAUGGUAGUGAGUGCAGUUUGGUCUCGUAAUUCAUCAGAUACGUAACUUCAAUAUGUUGCGUAAUUUUUUCGUCCUCGUAUUUCUCGUUUGCGCUUUCUGCUACGUGACGGCCGUACCUUACUUACUAAGCAACUCCCGCGUGAACUUCGGCGCUGAUAUCGAGCAUGCGCAACACGAUAUGACAAAAAGAUCACCUUAUGUGGACAGAAACGCGCAAAGCAGGACAGCACCUCCGAAACCGCAGGAACAUUGGACGAUACGAUCCGCCAUAGCAGGUGAUUCGUCAGGUCGCGGUACUGGCAUAUUUAUCUCUGCCGGUCGUGGAUUUUGAUAAGUGCUGCCAAAUCGCAUAUUUUUAUUGAUAUUGUUGCUUAUUUGCCAUGUUAAUAUAUUAUUUGCUUUAAACAAA